UUUGCAUCCAUGAAGGCUACAUAGAAAACCUUACUGAGGAUUUGUGUAGAUCUGAUGCUCAGCAAA
rfam:Erinaceus europaeus unplaced genomic scaffold scaffold00451, whole genome shotgun sequence